AUGAACGCUGGCGGCGUGCCUAAUACAUGCAAGUCGCGCGAACAGACGAGGAGCUUGCUCCUCUGACGUUAGCGGCGGCCGGGUGAGUAACACGUGGAUAACCUACCUAUAAGACUGGGAUAACUUCGGGAAACCGGAGCUAAUACCGGAUAAUAUAUUGAACCGCAUGGUUCAAUAGUGAAAGACGGUUUUGCUGUCACUUAUAGAUGGAUCCGCGCCGCAUUAGCUAGUUGGUAAGGUAACGGCUUACCAAGGCGACGAUGCGUAGCCGACCUGAGAGGGUGAUCGGCCACACUGGAACUGAGACACGGUCCAGACUCCUACGGGAGGCAGCAGUAGGGAAUCUUCCGCAAAGGGCGAAAGCCUGACGGAGCAACGCCGCGUGAGUGAUGAAGGUCUUCGGAUCGUAAAACUCUGUUAUUAGGGAAGAACAAAUGUGUAAGUAACUAUGCACGUCUUGACGGUACCUAAUCAGAAAGCCACGGCAAACUACGUG
rnacentral:rRNA from 1 species